UCAAUAAUAUGAACGGCGCGAGCUCCGCCGCUUGUCAUCAGCACUUCAUGAAUUCACCGCGAUAAAGACAUCGCAAGUAAAUUCAUUACAGUAUUGAACAUGACGGGAAAGAUUUAUAAUUUACAUCCAUCUUCCUGUCCUGUCAUAAAUGUAUCUCAGGCGGUAAAUAACGUGUUUUCAAGCUUUCGGCUGAGGUGGGAAAGUAACGGAAGAUCGGACUGACGUGUUUCUCUCGUCUCUGCAACCGCCGAUUAUUUAAGAACAUUCAUUAUUUUUCUAGUAUUAUAACAUUUGAAGAUUAAGCGUGUUCUGUGGACGUGAAUGAAUCCUCUUCAUUUGACCUGACUGAAGGUUAUAGUCAGGAAAGGUGAUAAAAUAUUUUUGGCCGUUAGGGUGGACCUUGCUGUGUUCGACUGGUUUUGAGUGUGUUUGGCUUACUGGAUGUCCAAUAGGGUUCAUGUAUGAGCACCCGGUCCAAUGAAGCAGAUGGCGGUGAGCAAGACAGAGGGCAGUUAUUCUACUCCAUUCCCUUCACCAGCACUGCGUCAAUUAUCAGACUGACGUUUCAUUAGCUCCUGCAGCUGAUGCCACCGUGGAGAAGCACUGAAGUGUGGUGGAAAGAAUCGAAGUGAGUGGAAUUUUAGCUGCGGGAAGAAACAGGCUUUGAAUGUACACUCUGGAAGGUUAUUGUAAGGCUAAGCCAAAGGAAAGUGGCAGAUUUAAAGGAUUCCUCUCCAAGAUGCUGUUGAGCUAUCACGGAUGACCGGCUUGUUCCUCUGCUGUCAAUUUGAGCAAGAGAUUUAACUCAAGAAUAAAGCUGGGGCCAUUAAAUAUGCAAGACUUUGGUACCUUUAGUCAAGACUCUCAUAUCUCUCCAUGUUUGACAUUUGAAUUUUGCUUUUCAGCGAAGGAGGGAAUGGACUGUUUGUUUUAUACGUACACUUGAAGCUGGAUUGUCAUCGACAAGGCCUCGGGUGAAGUGAAGCCAACUUAUCAAUUCACUCAAGGCAACAUCUAGUGUAAUCCUCAGUCCUUUUCAAUGUGAGAAAAUCAAUACUUUCAGCUGGAAUCCUGAACAAAGGGUUAAUUACAGCUCAGGGGAAAGAAGAGAUGUACCGUGAAGUGUAUCUGUGUUUUGAAUAAGGUUUUUAAAGUGUGAAUAAGGGUCUAUGCAUAUUUCUUUUUGUCAUGCUUUGCCACGAUGCUUUAGCAUGCUUCUCACUCUACAUAAAAACCUCAGUGAAGUUCACAGUCCAUUAUUAAGCUAUUACAGAAUGAUUAAAAAAUAAGGUUAUAAUUUGCAAUUUUCAUAUUUUAGAAUAUUUGACUUAUAUUGAAUGAGGGCACAGAGGAGAAUUAGAGCUUUAAGAAAGGCUCAUAAAGUCCUUAUUAAGGCACAUCUGAAAUUGGUUUAAUGAUGUCUAAUAGAGGGCGCAAUCACACAUUUAAUGCCAGGAUCCCUUUUGGCACAGUGCAUAGAAAUGAGUCAAUUACGUAUUCAUUAGAGGCACAUUCGGGCUGUAAGUGCAGGGAGAAUUGCAUGAAAUGUUUGUCUUUUUGCCACUGUUUAAAAAGCUACUAAUAACAAUGAGAGCAAAGCUGGUAUGUUUAUUGUAAACAAAUAAGGAAUAGUUAUUAGUUACUUGAUUUGAUUUAUGAGAGUAAUGUUUCUGUAAGAUUCGAGAAUGCAAACGAGAAUUGAUAAAGAUGUACUUCUUUUCAUAUUUCUUAAUCUUACGGGUCUCAGAGACUGCAAACAGACCCUUAUCUGUUAGGGGACAAACAUAAUGAUAGAAGGAAACCACAUAUUGAUGAUGUGAUGUGUGCUUCCAAAAAAGGUCAGAAUCUUACUGGUCUUUCUGUCUCUGUUUUUUCAAAAACGCUCGUCUUUUCUAUUUAUUUCUCUCUACCCCUCCCCUGCCUUCUUGCGCUGUCACCCUUUAACGUUGUCCAUAGACGGCGCACACAAUUACAGUCUCUGAUUGCUAUCAGCCAAGGUUGGGGGCCUUACAAAUUAGGGGAUAAAUAGGAUUUCCUACAUGCUGGAUGGCAAAGGCCAGGGAAUGGUAAUGAAAAACUAUACAUCACAAUCAGCUCGACAAUCCUAUUCAUACAGCCGGGCAUUACACUCACUCUUCAUAAUAAUAGCCAAAUGACAGACACGGAUGUAAGGCACGAGCGAGACGCUCCCCACAUACCCCGUGAGCAUCUCCCAGCUGAACACAGUCUAUGUCUGGCCUUUAUUGUUAUGCUGCAAAGUUUUGCAAGCUUUUUGAGAGAGCUUGAUUUAUUUUUUUCAUUGUCACCUCGCGUGAGUUUAUGGAAGGGCUUUCUGUGGGGUUUUAUGGAUGUGAAUUGUGCUUAUUAAAAUAUAGCAAAACAUUCUGUGUUGGGACUGAGUGUUUAGGGUUUAAGAGAGGAGAUUUUUAAUGUUAAGGAUUUUAAUGUGAAGUGUUAAUUUAAAAAUCUUUGGAGUACUUGUUUGUCACACAA